rnacentral:rRNA from 1 species
UUCCGGUUGAUCCUGCCGGACCUUACUGCUAUCGGGGUGGGACUAAGACAUGCGAGUCGAGCGUCUCUAGCUAUGUUGAGACGCGGCAGACGGCUCAGUAACACGUGGCUAACCUACCUUCAGGACGAGGAUAAACCCGGGAAACUGGGGCUAAUACUCGAUAGGUGAGAAUGUCUGGAAUGACUUCUCAUCCAAAGGGCCUUGGAAACAUGCUUUCAAUGUCGCCUGGAGAUGGGGCCGCGUCCGAUCAGGUUGUUGGUGAGGUAACGGCUCACCAAGCCUAUAACCGGUACGGGCCAUGAGAGUGGUAGCCCGGAGAUGGGUACUGAGACAAGGACCCAGGCCCUACGGGGCGCAGCAGUCGCGAAAACUCCGCAAUGCACGAAAGUGUGACGGGGCUACCCCGAGUGCCAUCCGCUGAGGUUGGCUUUUCCUUGGUAUAACUAGCCAGGGGAAUAAGGAGAGGGCAAGACUGGUGUCAGCCGCCGCGGUAAUACCAGCUCUCCGAGUGGUAGGGAUGAUUAUUGGGCUUAAAGCGUCCGUAGCCGGCUUAGCAAGUCUCCUGUUAAAUUCAGCGACCUAAUCGUUGACCCGCGGGAGAUACUACUAGGCUAGGAGGCGGGAGAGGUCGACGGUACUUCUGGGGUAGGGGUGAAAUCCUAUAAUCCCGGGAGGACCACCAGUGGCGAAGGCUGUCGACUAGAACGCGCUCGACGGUGAGGGACGAAAGCUGGGGGAGCGAACCGGAUUAGAUACCCGGGUAGUCCCAGCCGUAAACGAUGCGAGCUAGGUGUUGGGAUGGCUACGUGCCAUUCCAGUGCCGCAGGGAAGCCAUUAAGCUCGCCGCCUGGGGAGUACGGCCGCAAGGCUGAAACUUAAAGGAAUUGGCGGGGGAGCACCACAAGGCGUGAAGCUUGCGGGUUCAAUUGGAUUCAACGCCGGGAAUCACUAGUGCGGGCCGCCUGCAGGUCGACCAUAUGGGGAGAGCUCCCAACGCGUUGGAUGCAUAGCUUGAGUAUUCUAUAGUGUCACCUAAAUAGCUUGGCGUAUCAUGGUCAUAGCUGUUUCUGGUGUGAAUGUAUCGCUCACAAUCCACACAACAUACGAGUCGGGAAGCAUAAAGUGUAAGCUGGGGGUGCUAUGGGUUGACUAACUCCAAUAAUGGCGUGCGCUCACUGACGCUUCUGGUCGGCAAACCCUGUGUUCCGUGUC